AUGGGCAGCCAGAGGUUAGAUUCCUCACCUGAAUUCUUGGGCUUUAAUGUAGGAGAAGCGACUGCAGUCAAUGUCUGGCCAGCCUAUGAAGUGCCAUCCUUGGGGCAGCUGGCCCUUGGUCUUCUCAGGAUUGAGAUGGGGCCCCUUAUCACAGUACAGAGCACUGGCACUUAUAGCAUCAGGAAGGCAGAUGCCCUCAGGUGGGGCUUGAGCAGCCCAGCUCUGGUGGCACUUGGGCUUUGU
rnacentral:lncRNA from 1 species